rnacentral:misc_RNA from 1 species
ACAAUUUGGUUUCAUACCAAACACUGUGUGCAUAGGAUUUGUCUCUGGCGGUGGUGCUUUGUCUUAAACAUGUCAUGCCCAAAUAGGUGUGACCUCUGGCCGUCGCCAAACACUAUUUUUCGGAAUGCCCUUUGCGGGGUGUUUCGGGGAAUAGUUGAUAAACUUAAUAAACAUAAGUCUGAUAUUUAUUUUUUUAAUCUGAAAA